rnacentral:misc_RNA from 7 species
UCCAUUGAUACAGAUCAGUUAUUGCCCCGCCUUUUCCCUCAGUUGCGAGCGUUAUUGACCCCGGUCAAUUUUCAUCCAGGCCUGAUUGGUUAACUUGAACCCAUCACAACGGGGCAAGACCAGGAGGCCAGUCAUGUUUUUCGAUAAUGUGGUGUUUGCCGGGAUACUGACGGUCGGCCUCAUGUUCGUAUUCUUCGCUGUAUUUGGAUUAUUCAUCUGGAAAGACGCACAUAAGCGUAGAAAGCCAUAAGUCUUUCCAGCUGCAACGAGCACGCAAGGCAUUUUGGGCGACUUCGGUCGCCCUUU